GGUUUCAUGGUCUAGUGGUUAUGACACCGGAUUUUGAUUCCGGUAACCUGGGUUCGAAUCCCAGUGAGACCU
rnacentral:tRNA from 5 species